UUGACUGAAGUUGAAGCUAGUUGAUCCAUGGUUAUCACUUUUUGUGGUGAUAAUUCUUCAAUUUCAAGUGUUGGGUUUUUUGUUAUAUAAGAUUGGAGUUGCAGUGCUGACAAGGAGGAUUAAAGAUAAAAUCUAUUGAUUUUUUUUUUUUUGAGUUGAGUGAUUGUAUUGAAGUUAUUGAGAUGGAUAAUUCAGAUAGGUCGUUCAAUAGGAAUCCUGAUCAUUUGGGUGUGAAUAAAUUUGGGAAGAAUAUCAAGAAGAGUCCUAUACACCAACCCAAUUUCAAUAACAAUACAAAUAGUGGUGCUAGGCAACAACCUCAACCUCAGGUUUACAAUAUUAACAAGAACGAUUUUCGGAGCAUUGUUCAGCAACUUACAGGUUCACCAUCUCAAGAACCUCCACCUAGACCUCCUCAGAAUCCUUCUAAGCCUCCUAGUAUGAGAUUACAAAAGAUUCGGCCACCCCCUUUGACUCCAAUAAAUCGUCCCCAAAUUCCAGUCCACCCUCAACGUCAAGCACAUAUCCCUGCCCCAGCUCGACCUGUAGGAGGCGUUCCUUACCAUAACAAUAUGGUAAGACCGCCUCCACACUAUGGUCAGCCCUCACCUCCUAUGUUACCACCAACACCUGGAGAUGUUUGGACAAAUACAGCUGAGUCUCCAAUUUCAGUUUAUAUGCGCUAUCUUCAAAAUUCAAUAAUAGAUUCAGGGCCUAAACAAACACAAUUUCAAGGUCCUGGUCAUUAUCAAGCACAUCCAGCAUCACCUGGCUUACUUCCUAAUCCUUCAAUGCCACCUCUUCCAUCUCCUAGAAUGAACGGCCCGCCUCCUUUCCCAUCCGCGCGGAUGAAUGGUUUCCCAUCUCCUAGGAUGAAUGGCCCUCCUCCACCUCUUCCAUCUCCUAGAAUGAAUGGCCCCCCUCCUUUCCUGUCUCCUAGGAUGAAUGGUCCUCCUCCGCCUCUUCCUUCCCCGGGAGUAAACGGCCCUCCUCCUUUGCCUUCACCUACUUCUCAGUAUCUUUUGCCGUCACCCACUGGUUUCUUGAACUUGUUAUCUCCACGAUCCCCGUAUCCAUUGCUUUCUCCGGGUGUGCAGCAUCCUCCACCACUGACACCAAAUUUCUUCUUCUCUCCAAUGGCUCAGCCUGGGGGUUUUGGCGCGGGGCAACAGUUUCCUCCUUCGCCUGGUUACGGAUUUCCAUUGUCACCUUCUGGGUUCUUCGCCAUGUCAAGUCCAAGAUGGAGGGAUCAAUAGCGCCACGAAGAGAGCUGCUGACUUUGGAUUGCUCUUUUGAUCUGAUUCUUUGCUUCGAGUUUUGUCAAGGUGGUAGAUAUCUUUCAAUUGAAGCUUUUUCCCUGUGGAUAUGCACUGUAUACAAUAGAAAAUGUGGUAUGGUGCUAGUGGAUCUGGAGUUUUUUUCCCAGUGCGUUAUUCACUCAAGAACGUUAAUUCUUGAUUUUCUGAUUGGCUGAGCUGCACAGUUUCUGGAGGAAUGCAUUCUUUCCAGUUGAUUGACAGGUGAAACAGAUAGAACUAUUAACUUUAUAAUUUUCGAGGAAAAGAUGAGGAGGGGGGUUUGGAGGUGGAAAGAGUUAAUGGAUCUGAGUAAUUGUAAAUGCAGUUGCUAAUUCCAUUGAGUAUAUAACAAUCUAUUUAAUCAAAUUAAAUGAAUGUCUUUGGUUGUAGCAGAACACUGGAUAUUCUUGUCCGGAGUCGCUCUGACACUGAUGUUUUUAAAUGUGUCCACCUUAUAAAAAAAAAACGAUAUCCCCUUGUACACUAUGUGCCUGUAUGUCCAUUGUAGGUGCCGCAUGUAUAUGUUGGUGGGGUAUUCUAUCACCAUUUUAGACCAGCUGAAUAAAAAUUAGGGAUAGGAACAAUGUUUAGACCUAAAACAUUUCAGAUUUGCAUGAGUUGGUGAAGUACGACCCAAGACAAUUAUGCUAGGUGAUCUCUCAUUUGCAGACUGUUGAGGUUUAUACUCGCCAUUUUUUUGGAGAAGUGAGAGCACCUGAAUGUUUAACAUCCCAAAGCUGUGAAUCUGUUUACAGCUGCAGAAAGCUAUUCUGCUGAGGCCUGAGAGUGCUAUAAAUUCAUUC